AGUGAACGCUGGCGGUAGGCCUAACACAUGCAAGUCGAACGGCAGCACAGUAAGAGCUUGCUCUUACGGGUUGCGAGUGGCGGACGGGUGAGGAAUACAUCGGAAUCUACUUUUUCGUGGGGGAUAACGUAGGGAAACUUACGCUAAUACCGCAUACGACCUACGGGUGAAAGCAGGGGAUCUUCGGACCUUGCGCGAUUGAAUGAGCCGAUGUCGGAUUAGCUAGUUGGCGGGGUAAAGGCCCACCAAGGCGACGAUCCGUAGCUGGUCUGAGAGGAUGAUCAGCCACACUGGAACUGAGACACGGACCAGACUCCUACGGGAGGCAGCAGUGGGGAAUAUUGGACAAUGGGCGCAAGCCUGAUCCAGCCAUACCGCGUGGGUGAAGAAGGCCUUCGGGUUGUAAAGCCCUUUUGUUGGGAAAGAAAAGCAGCAGGUUAAUACCCCGCUGUUCUGACGGUACCCAAAGAAUAAGCACCGGCUAACUUCGUG
rnacentral:rRNA from 1 species